rnacentral:rRNA from 1 species
AACGCGAAGAACCUUACCAGGUCUUGACAUCCCUCUGAUCGCUUUAGAGAUAGAGCUUCCCUUCGGGGCAGAGGAGACAGGUGGUGCAUGGUUGUCGUCAGCUCGUGUCGUGAGAUGUUGGGUUAAGUCCCGCAACGAGCGCAACCCUUGACAUUAGUUGCCAGCAGUAAGAUGGGGACUCUAAUGUGACUGCCGGUGACAAACCGGAGGAAGGUGGGGAUGACGUCAAAUCAUCAUGCCCCUUAUGACCUGGGCUACACACGUGCUACAAUGGACGGAACAAAGGGAAGCGAGUCCGUGAGGAGGAGCAAACCCCAAAAAACCGUUCUCAGUUCGGAUUGUAGGCUGCAACUCGCCUACAUGAAGCUGGAAUCGCUAGUAAUCGCGGAUCAGCAUGCCGCGGUGAAUACGUUCCCGGGUCUUGUACACACGC